AUCUCUCUGCCUUGACAUCUUUCACUCCUACAGGAAGAUGAGGAACCAUCAAAACACUUUAAAAUAAGAUGGCGAUGACUACAUCAUCAAAACUGAGCAUUAGGAAUAAGACUCAGAAAAGCACAUAGGAGAAAUACCAGCAGGAGCAGAGAAGAGACAGAUGGAUCAAUGAAGGAAAGAGACAACAGUGACAAAAACUAGUAGAGAUGGAAAACGGGCUGUAGAAAGAGAUUUAAAGGAAGUAAAAUCAACUGAACUUUGUUCACUCAAUACAUAUUGAA
rnacentral:lncRNA from 1 species